CUUGACAUCCAGAGAACUUGGCAGAGAUGCCUUGGUGCCUUCGGGACCUCUGAGACAGGUGCUGCAUGGCUGUCGUCAGCUCGUGUUGUGAAAUGUUGGGUUAACGUCCGCAACGAGCGCAACCCCUAUCCUUUGUUGCCAGCGAUUCGGUCGGGAACUCAAAGGAGACUGCCGGUGAUAAACCGGAGGAAGGUGGGGAUGACGUCAAGUCAUCAUGGCCCUUACGAGUAGGGCUACACACGUGCUACAAUGGCGCAUACAAAGAGAAGCGACCUCGCGGGAGCAAGCGGACCUCAUAAAGUGCGUCGUAGUCCGGAUCGGAGUCUGCAACUCGACUCCGUGAAGUCGGAAUCGCUAGUAAUCGUAGAUCAGAAUGCUACGGUGAAUACGUUCCCGGGCCUUGUACACACCGCCCGUCACACCAUGGGAGUGGGUUGCAAAAGAAGUAGAUAGCUUAACCUUCGGGAGGGCGUUUACCACUUUGUGAUUCAUGACUGGGGUGAAGUCGUAACAAGGUAAGCGUAGCGAG
rnacentral:rRNA from 1 species